rnacentral:rRNA from 1 species
AGGGAAUCUUCCACAAUGGACGCAAGUCUGAUGGAGCAACGCCGCGUGAGUGAAGAAGGUUUUCGGACCGUAAAGCUCUGUUGUUGGUGAAGAAGGAUAGAGGUAGUAACUGGCCUUUAUUUGACGGUAAUCAACCAGAAAGUCACGGCUAACUACGUGCCAGCAGCCGCGGUAAUACGUAGGUGGCAAGCGUUGUCCGGAUUUAUUGGGCGUAAAGCGAGCGCAGGCGGAAGAAUAAGUCUGAUGUGAAAGCCCUCGGCUUAACCGAGGGAUUGCAUCGGAAACUGUUUUCUUGAGUGCAGAAGAGGAGAGUAGAACUCCAUGUGUAGCGGUGGAAUGCGUAGAUAUAUGGAAGAAUACCAGUGGCGAAGGCGGCUCUCUGGUCUGCAACUGACGCUGAGGCUCGAAAGCAUGGGUAGCGAACAGGAUUAGAUACCCUGGUAGUCCAUGCCGUAAACGAUGAGUGCUAAGUGUUGGGAGGCUUCCGCCUCUCAGUGCUGCAGCUAACGCAUUAAGCACUCCGCCUGGGGGAGUACGACCGCAAGGUUGAAAC